CCCGGUAAACGGCGGCCGUAACUAUAACGGUCCUAAGGUAGCGAAAUUCCUUGUCAGGUAAGUUCUGACCCGCAUGAAAGGCGUAAUGAUUUGGGCACUGUCUCAACAGCCCGCCCGGCGAAAUUGUAGUACCGGUGAAGAUGCCGGUUACCCGCGACAAGACGGAAAGACCCCAUGGAGCUUUACUGUAGCCUAAUAUUGGGUUUCGAUGUUGCAUGCACAGGAUAGAUGGGACACUGGGAAACAAUCGCUUUGGCGGUUGCGGAGUGGCCGUUGGGAUACCAUCCUUGCGAUAUUGGAAUUCUAACCUGCGGCUCUGAAUCGAGUCGGGGGACAUUGUUAGGUGGGCAGUUUGACUGGGGCGGUCGCCUCCUAAAAAGUAACGGAGGCGUUCAAAGGUUCGCUCAGCUUGAACGGAAAUCAAGCAAAAGAGUGCAAACGCAGAAGCGAGCCUAACUGCGAGACUGACGGGUCGAGCAGUAACGAAAGUUGGAGUUAGUGAUCCGGUGGUAUGUGAGUGGAAAUGCCAUCGCUCAACGGAUAAAAGUUACCCUGGGGAUAACAGGCUGAUCUCCCCCAAGAGUCCACAUCGACGGGGAGGUUUGGCACCUCGAUGUCGGCUCAUCGCAUCCUGGGGCUGUAUUCGGUCCCAAGGGUUUGGCUGUUCGCCAAUUAAAGCGGUACGCGAGCUGGGUUCAGAACGUCGUGAGACAGUUCGGUCCCUAUCUGUCGUGGGCGCAGGAUAUUUGAUGGGAGCUGUCCCUAGUACGAGAGGACCGGGACGGACGUACCUCUGGCGCACCAGUUGUUCCGCCAGGAGCAUAGCUGGGCAACUACGUACGGAUCGGAUAAACGCUGAAAGCAUCUAAGCGUGAAGCCGACCCAAAGAUAAGAUAUCCCAUUGUUUCAAACAAGUAAGACCCCUUGAAGACUACAAGGUUGAUAGGCACGAUGUGUAAGUGGAGCGAUCCAUUCAGCAAGCGUGUACUAAUAGGUCGAGGGCUUGACCAC
rnacentral:rRNA from 1 species